UCUUAAUCUCAGAUCAGGCAGGAUGACCCGCUGAACUUAAGCAUAUCAGUAAGCGGAGGAAAAGAAACUAACCAGGAUUCCCUUAGUAACGGCGAGUGAAGCGGGAAUAGCCCAAUCUGAAAAGCUAGUCAGCCCUGGAGCUGGUCUCGCAUUGUAGGUUGAUGAAUCGUUUCCUAGUGUUAAACCUUUCAAUUAAAGUUCCUUGGAACAGGACAUCAAAGAGGGUGAUAAUCCCGUGAUUAAUUGAAUGACAUACCAGUUUAAUGCGUCUAUGGAGCGUUUUCUUAGAGUCGGAAUGUUUGGGAUUGCAUUCCAAAGUGGGUGGUAAACUCCAUCUAAGGCUAAAUACUGGCGAGAGACCGAUAGCGAACAAGUACCGUGAGGGAAAGUUGAAAAGCACUCUGGAGAGAGAGUCAAACAGUACGUGAAAUUGCUAGCAGGGAAACGUUGGAUACCAGUACACGGCAAUUAAUGUCAAUGAUCAGUUAAUGUAUUGUUUAUUUGUGAUGUGGUGUUUACUUUGGAGAUCGUCUCACGGCGACUCACAUAUCAUAAAUGAAUAAUGUAUUGGUGCACUCAUUGGCAGCCGGGUCAACAUCAGUUAAUGACGUUCGAUAAGUUAUUAGACAAGGUAUCAUUAGUAAGUUUACUUACUUUUGAACUUAUAGGUCUGAUGUACGAGGAUGUUAUUGACUGAGGAUAGUCGAUUCGUGCGUUUCGGCGCAGGGCGUACUGGCUAGAUCAAGGCAGCCCGUGGCGUUAAGCAGCAUGCUGAUUAACGUUCAUUUUAUCAUAUUUAUAUGNUAGUGGCGGUCGUUUAGCUAGUACAAGCCACUAGCGAGUCAAUGAUGGUUGACGAAAUGGUAUUCAACGACCCGUCUUGAAACACGGACCAAGGAGUCUAACAUGUCUGCGAGUGUUUGGAUGGAAAAUCCU
rnacentral:rRNA from 1 species